rnacentral:lncRNA from 1 species
GAUUAUUAAUCUACAUUAAGAGCCAUGCAUUAUUACAUUGUUUUUGAAAUUUACAGUACUUUAAUUUUUUUAAUGUAAGAAACAAUCUAAAUAAUGUUGAGUGUUCUGUAAAUACACAAUUAUUGAGGAAUAUAAUUAACAAAUUAUUAUUGGCUUUAGUGACUUUAAAAAAUGGAUUUUAUUACAGCGACAUGAAAUAAAAUUGUUUGGAAAAAAAUGAAUGCAUAUAUUGCAAAAAAAAAUGAAAUAAAAAAGUGCUCUGUAAAAUUGUUGAAUACAGUAAUUGUUUAGCGUGUUCAGCAGUAGCUUUUGACUGAAUGAUUCCCAAAAGUUAAACAGCAGUAAAAAAAAAAAAAAA